UACAGAGGGGGCAAGCGUUGUUCGGAAUUACUGGGCGUAAAGGGCGCGUAGGCGGCCUUCUAAGUCGAACGUGAAAUCCCCGGGCUCAACCCGGGAACUGCGUCCGAUACUGGAAGGCUUGAAUCCGGGAGAGGGAUGCGGAAUUCCAGGUGUAGCGGUGAAAUGCGUAGAUAUCUGGAGGAACACCGGUGGCGAAGGCGGCGUCCUGGGCCGUAACUGACGCUGAGGAGCGAAAGCAUGGGGAGCGAACAGG
rnacentral:rRNA from 1 species